rnacentral:lncRNA from 1 species
GGUGCGCGUAUAUAUAUAUAUACAAUAAUAGAAUUUAAUUCAAUAAUAAUUAAAUUCGGUUAUUGUAAUUAUAUAACUUGGUAUGAUUUUAAUUGCCGGUGUGUUUGAUUCAUUUCUUACUGGUCACUUCAAUAUGCUAAUUAGUUUAGCCCGCGAAAUGUUAGUCCGUGCAAUUUACCUCGUGUCGUUUGGUCAUUUGGAAUCAAACCUUACACGGAGCUUGACCAAAGCUACAAGAUUUACCCGACCUCCCAGUUUCCCAUUAUGAAUUUUUUCUGCUGCUUUUCAUUUAUCUUUUCAGUUUUGGAAGAGUGAUUAUAGAACCAGCGUCAUGGCAUAAAUAACAGACUCAAGUUAAGUGCUUUUGUUAGUGUGAAUGGACAGGCCGAAUUUACUUUAAGCUGCUAUGGAUUACCCAGUGGCUCCUGUUAUAACUUUAUUACUGCUGGAUCGCCCUUCAGUAAUUCAAUCGUCAUCAAGUUUUGAUUGACAAGUUGGUUGUGUUUCUUUGUUGCAAUAAAUGCCAUGACAAAUUUACAGCCAAAUAAAUCUUAAUUUCUUUAAUGCCUUUGAUUCAUAGUUUAAUUGUUAGAUUCAUUACAUCAUAAGGUCAAACAAUGAGAUUACAUAAUUAUACCUACAAGUACACUUGACAUUUUAUCUAGGCCUCCUUUUCAAUAUAGGUGCGCG